rnacentral:rRNA from 1 species
UACGGGGGGGGCAAGCGUUGUUCGGAAUUACUGGGCGUAAAGGGCUUGUAGGCGGCCAACUAAGUCAGACGUGAAAUCCCUCGGCUUAACCGGGGAACUGCGUCUGAUACUGGAUGGCUUGAGUUCGGGAGAGGGAUGCGGAAUUCCAGGUGUAGCGGUGAAAUGCGUAGAUAUCUGGAGGAACACCGGUGGCGAAGGCGGCAUCCUGGACCGACACUGACGCUGAGGCGCGAAAGCCAGGGGAGCGAACGGG